AAGACGCCAAAAAGUCUGAAGGCUGCAAUAGUGCAAAAAAGAAGAGGAGUCGCCUCCCUGAUCUUCUCCUUCUCUCUCCACCGAUCUCUCGGAUCGAAAUACAAAGCAAGGAAUUAAAAACAAAGAGAUUUCAAAAUUAGUUUCCUCCUUUAUGUGUUGCGACAUGUUUUCUGGGGAUUUGAACGAUUAUUUUGAGCUUUGAAGUGCUAAUCACUAUCGAUUGUUGCUGGAAAAGCCUUGCUGAGCUUCACCCUUGAGAAUUUUAACAUUUAUUCGACCUUCGAGAUCUGUCUCCCUUUUUGCCGAUAGCUCUUGCUUGGCUUUCUAGUUGUUUUAACUGCUGAUUAAGGUCAAUUCUAGUCCAAGUAAGUGUGCUCUCUCACCUCUGUAUUUUUCAGAUCUAUUUAAUAUAAAAUCACGACUAGUUUCCUUCAUCUUUUAUUAUUGCUUAGAUUUUGUGUAUUGUAAUAAUAAUUUGAUUCCAUCAAUGAAGGGUAUUAUAUGCGGACAUAAUUGUAAAGGAAAUUUUGAUACUAGGAUUCUCAUACUGUGACAUAAAUGUGAAAGAUCAUGUAUCAAUGUUGAUAAUAGUUUCGAUUUUACUCCAUGUAUCAUGUUCUUCACGUCUUGUGUAUUGGUUGCAUCGUUUGUGCCUUGUUUAAGCCUCUUCUUCUUAUCUUCCAGUGAUGUGUGAUGAUAAAUAUACCAACCAUUGUGUAGCUUGACCAUGUUGAGUUUCCACUUGAACGAAUGGAAGCCAUCACUUCUGUCAUUUUCAUAUGUUGAGUUCUUGGAGUUAAUUUAUAAUUUUUAAUUCUGAGCAAUCUUAUAUUAAUGUUUGUAGAAGUUUC
rnacentral:lncRNA from 1 species